GGACCCGCACAAGCGGUGGAGCAUGUGGUUUAAUUCGAUGCAACGCGAAAAACCUUACCUACACUUGACAUACUUCGAAUUUUCUAGAGAUAGAUUAGUGCCUUCGGGAACGAAGAUACAGGUGCUGCAUGGCUGUCGUCAGCUCGUGUCGUGAGAUGUUGGGUUAAGUCCUAUAACGAGCGCAACCCUUACCCUUAUUUGCCAGCGGUUAGGCCGGGAACUAUAAGGGAACUGCCGGUAAUAAGCCGGAGGAAGGUGGGGACGACGUCAAGUCAUCAUGGCCCUUACGUGUAGGGCUACACACGUGCUACAAUGGUAGGUACAGAGGGCAGCUACACAGCGAUGUGAUGCGAAUCUCAAAAAGCCUAUCGUAGUCCAGAUUGGAGUCUGCAACUCGACUCCAUGAAGUAGGAAUCGCUAGUAAUCG
rnacentral:rRNA from 1 species